GAUGAAGAACGUAGCGAAAUGCGAUAAGUAAUGUGAAUUGCAGAAUUCAGUGAAUCAUCGAGUCUUUGAACGCACAUUGCGCCCCCUGGUAUUCCGGGGGGCAUGCCUGUCCGAGCGUCAUUGCUGCCCUCAAGCACGGCUUGUGUGUUGGGCCGUCGUCCCCCUCCUAGGGGACGGGUCCGAAAGGCAGCGGCGGCACCGCGUCCGGUCCUCGAGCGUAUGGGGCUUCGUCACCCGCUCCGUAGGCCCGGCCGGCGCUUGCCGACGACCAUCAAUCUCUUUCUCCAGGUUGACCUCGGAUCAGGUAGGGAUACCCGCUGAACUUAAGCAUAUCAAUAAGCGGAGGA
rnacentral:misc_RNA from 1 species